rnacentral:lncRNA from 8 species
AUUCAUUCUAAUAAAUUAUAUUCUAAUAAAUUAUAUUCCAUUCUACUCUAAUCCAUUCUAUUCUAAUACAUUCUAUUCCAUUCUAAUACAUUAUAUUCUAUUCUAAUCAAUUCUAUUCUAAUAAAUUCUAUUCCAUUCUACUCUAUUCCAUUCUAUUCUAAUACAUUCUAUUCCAUUCUAAUAAAUUAUAUUCUAAUAAAUUCUACUGUAUUCCAUUCUAAUAAAUUAUAUUCUAAUAAAUUCUACUCUAUUCCAUGGUUUAUCAAUAUUUACUACAUAUCAAUAUUAGGGGACAUUCCUACAGUACUGAAGUAACACAGUCUAGCCUACUCAACAAGCGUCAAAAGUCCUGGAAAAUGCCUAUGGAAUGAAAUGUAAAUGUUAUAUGGGAACAGACAUUAUUGACAGGGAAAACGGCUGGUCUAUUUGACACAUUUGGGAACUCUCUUUUCUUUUAUUCUUUCUCGCUCUGAGUAAAGACAACGCCUUCUUCCGUCUCCAUCGAAACUUGACAAGAAAAAGUUACCUGGGCCAACCUGCUGGGCAGGGGAGAAAGGAGUAGUCUAAUGGCGGUUGUAUAACAUCGCUGAUUAGACUACAAAACAUAUUUUCAGAACUUAUCAUGUACGUCAGUAUUGAUUAAAUCUUCGUUAUUAAAUAUAGCCUACUGUCUUGAGACUGAUUAAAGGGUAAAAGCGUUUCAUAGUUCCGGGUUUUGGGGAUAUUAUUCCAGAGUAUUGUAAUAAGUUGGGAAACAUGGACAGCAUCGAGUUACAGCCGGUUCGAUGCCCUGUAAGCCUUGACAACAACAAUCACCACGCUGAAAAUACCUCUAAGCAACAGAUGACUUCAGGUAAUAGACCCAGGCUGACCACCAAUGAUGCAGCAGAGGAAGGAAACCCCUUGCUUUCUCCUGAACAGGUGGGUCAUCACUGCCAUUUGGUGGCUGAAUUACUUUCUCCCUCAACAACACAGUGGCCUUUUUAUAUACAGCACAGGGGAAAAUAUGUCUAGCCUACUGUUGGAAGGACUACUGUCUAAUUGUAACCACAGCCACAUCCUCACUGUCAUAAGUGUCAUUGUAGCAGUGACAGUACAGUGACAGUAGCAGUGACAGUACAGUGACAGUAGCAGUGACAGUAGCAGUGAUAGUAGCAGUGACAGUAGCAGUGAUAGUAGCAGUGACAGUACAGUGACAGGAGCAGUGAUAGUAGCAGUGACAGUAGCAGUGAUAGUAGCAGUGACAGUAGCAGUGACAGUACAGUGAUAGUAGCAGUGAUAGUAGCAGUGACAGUAGCAGUGAUAGGACAGUGACAGUACAGUGAUAGUAGCAGUGAUAGUAGCAGUGACAGUAGCAGUGAUAGGACAGUGACAGUACAGUGAUAGUAGCAGUGA